rnacentral:lncRNA from 1 species
CCAGGGCUUUGUGACGAAAUCCCCUCUCAAUAGGUGUGAUCUCUGGCCCUCCCACUUAGACAAGGCCUGCUGGCUGCAGAGUGAGACAUGCACUGCCUAGAAAAAAACAGGAGGAGGUGGGAAGCACACUUAGCAGACAAGAUUUGUAGAAACAAGAAGCCAUAUGAAGACUGUCACGAAGCGUUCAUUCAGGACCCUAUGCAGACAGCAAAAUCCGGAGAGGAGCGAGAAAACACAGGGGAAAAAGCAUGCUGAAAGGAAAACAGAAGGCGUUUUCUAGGUGCGCUGGUGUUCAGGGGGUGUGUCCGAGGCAAACAGUCCAAAGGGUGUCCACAGGGAAAUCCUUGACGAAGCAAAUGUCCAGAGCCCAGUGGUCCAUCCAAGACA